UUUAAAUUCCCGCCUAUGUUUGUUCCCCCAAAAUUUUGAUUUGCCUCUCAUUCUCAAUUUUAGAAUUGGAUGCCAUCUCCCAUCACCCACCCCAAUCGGAAUUCUCUCCCUCAACCUCUAUCGAUCGUUUCCUUCGCUCGAUCCCAAUCCCCCAUACCCCAAACGGAAGGUCGUCUCCUCCCAUCGAUUUCUACCAUUUUACCACUAAUGAACCGCGGCUGAGUGACCGACGAACCACCACUACACCAUCAGAUAAUCUAUCAUAACUGCUCGGUUCCUUGUUGCUCGACUCCUCAUCGCUUCAAUCAUAACUUCAUCCCUGAGCAAAAUGUGAAACAUCAUUUUCUGGAACAGGCAUUGGUACAUUGCUAGACAAGUGAAAAUCCAAAGCCACGUGGUUGCAUUUUUUAAAGGAGAUGAUUGUUGUGUUUUAGUUAUAAUGUAAAUGUCACAACUCCCAGACGUAUGAUGAACCCAAAUAGGUCAAAAUGUCUAAGCAAAACAUCUUUUGUUGUGCUCAACAGUUAAUAUUAAAGAGACCAGAUCAUAUGUUAGUUGACUCAUAUAGAUUAUUUAUUGAGCGCGACCGUGUUCAAGUUCCUGUUGUUGGUGACUCAGGUUUUGCAAAUGGAAUCUUCAAUUCUGAAUUUCUUGAAGUUUGAAUUGACAACACCACCUGUUAGAUGUUUCUUGAGAAGAUUUGUGUGUGUUGUUCAUGUGGUAAGAUACAUGAUUCCGGAAGGGCAUAUGAUAUCAUUUAAAUUAAACAUUGAACAUGAGAAAAACCAGUUGCUAGAAAUGAGCAAUGAGAUUGUAGAGGAUCAUGAAACUAAAACAAGCCGAGCUCGAAGCUAUGCAAAAUAUAUAUAUUGAGAGCCAACAACAAAACUUGGAAGCUAUGAUGCAUUAUGUUACAUAAAGUGCUAGUUAGAGAUCGAGAAGCGUAGAAUGUUCCAUUUCUCUUUAAUCUACAUCUUGUGUUGACUAUAUUGUUACUUGAGUUUGGAUAACCAUGUAAAGUACACCAUUUUACUAUUAAUGAUAUGUGUUUUACUAUUUUUUUUU